CAAACAGAGGCUAGGGACACCAUUCCUUACCCAUUCUGGCUAACAGCCAUUAAUGGACUUAACCUCCAUGAAGUUAUCCAGUUCUCUUUUACCUAGUUUCCUAUAUUUUAGUUUAAAUCCACUGCUGCUUCCGCCCCCCACUAACAGUCUCCAACAUCCAGUCUACUGCAACCGCUUACCAUGCUCGCCUCUCAACUAUCAAUAAUUCUACUCCAUUCCAUUUCUCUCUAGGCUUCUAGACAGUUUUAUAAUUUUUAUUGUUUCCUAAAAGGCAUAACAAGAAACUGGUUGGCACUCCUGGCACUGAGCUCUGAAGAUUCCAGAGAGUUAUGUCUGUUAGGACCAAUUGCCACCAUCCUCACAUUCUUGUGGAGGAUUCCAUGGAUAUAAAAGUGUCCUCUGCAUAUUCCCAUUUGUGAGAGAUUAAUGAACAGUACAACCUCCAGAAGGUGAUCUGAAGAGUUCUAGGUGAACAAAGACCCCAAAACUGCCAAAAUGAGUAACAGUUCUGGAUGACAGUUCAAGAAGUUGGGUAAGAAGAAUUGUUUAUGACAUCAACAAAACCCCGUGACUCAAGUGACCAUAACCUGCUAGUCAAGGGAACCAUAUUGGAGAGAUUCCUUUCUUGAGUGCUGGUUCUCAGGGCUAUUCACUGUGACUUCCAAGCAGUGCUUGUUGAAGAGGAGGGUGAAAGUAAAUAUGCUGUACUACAGAGUGGAGGACCACUAAGCCCAAAGGAGGCAUCCCCAGCCAAAGCCUGAACCAGACAGUAAUGCGUGGUGAAGGGAGCUGAGAGACAAGCCCAACAUCUUCAUUGAGAGAAGAUACUCCAGCAUGAGGAGGGUUCCUGAUGCCUUAGGAGCUGCAAAUGGUUUCAUCGCUCCAUGUAUCAUCUCUGUCCCAGAGGCUAUC